rnacentral:rRNA from 1 species
GACGAACGCUGGCGGUGUGCUUAACACAUGCAAGUGGUGCGACGAACCAGAGCUUGCUCUGGGGCAAAGCCGCGAACGGGUGAGUAACACGUGGGUAAUCUACCCCGAUGACCGGGACAACCCGAGGAAACUCGGGCUAAUACCGGAUGUGGUACGGAGACAUAAGUCUCUUUACUAAAGGUAGCUUCGGCUUCCGCAUUGGGAGGGGGCCCGCGGCCCAUUAGCUAGUUGGUGGGGUCAAGGCCUACCAAGGCAACGAUGGGUAGCUGGUCUGAGAGGACGAUCAGCCACACUGGGACUGAGACACGGCCCAGACUCCUACGGGAGGCAGCAGUGGGGAAUCUUGCGCAAUGCGCGAAAGCGUGACGCAGCAACACGCGUGAGGGAAGACGGCCUUAGGUGUAAACCUCUUUCAGAUGGGACGAAGGUGAUGCGGUGAAUAGCCGAUGUCAUUGACGGUACCGUCAGAA